AGUUGAGCCAGCCUGAGCUGAUGAGAUAAUUGUGUGUGCUGGGGGCAGAAGAGCUGGGGGAAUGGAGCUCUUUGGAGACAGAAUGACCUUGGCCAUGCAGUUGAGGAUGAAGUGUUCAACCAUUAGCCCAAAUCAGGAUAGGAAUCAGCAGUUAGCCUAAUCUUGACAGUGUGGUGGUCAGCUAUGGGGACUUGACACAUAUUGUUCCACUCCUGGAAGAUAAAUAAGAGAGCAGAGGUCUGAUCCCAGCUUACAACUCCAGCAGAAGCCCCCACUCCACCUGAGACCAUGCCAGCCACCAGAACCCCGAUUAUGUCCCCACAUUUGAAAAGAAAACACUACUAAAGCUUAAAUCACACAAUAAGACAACUUAAGGAAAAUAAGGGUAUACAAAUUGGAAAGCAAGAAGGCAACUUUUUG